GCUUAACGCGAAGAACCUUACCAGGCCUUGACAUGCACUAGACAGACGCUGAAAGGCGUUCUCCCUUCGGGGCUGGUGCACAGGUGCUGCAUGGCUGUCGUCAGCUCGUGUCGUGAGAUGUUGCGUUAAGUCGCGCAACGAGCGCAACCCCUGUCCUUAGUUGCCAUCAGGUAAAGCUGGGCACUCUAGGGAGACAAACCCUCUCUGAGGGUGGGAAGGUGGGGAUGACGUCAAGUCAGGAUGGCCCUUACGGCCUGGGCUGCACACGUGCUACAAUGCCCGGUACAGAGGGACGCAAGACCGCGAGGUGGAGCAAAUCCCAAAAACCGGGCCCAGUUCAGAUUGCAGUCUGCAACUCGACUGCAUGAAGCCGGAAUCGCUAGUAAUGGCGUAUCAGCUACGACGCCGUGAAUACGUUCCCGGGUCUUGUACACACCG
rnacentral:rRNA from 1 species